rnacentral:rRNA from 1 species
UACGUAGGGUGCGAGCGUUGCCCGGAUUUAUUGGGCGUAAAGGGCGCGCAGGCGGCUACGCACGUCCGUUGUGAAAUCGCUCGGCUCAACUGGGCGGGGUCAGCGGAUACGGCGUAGCUGGAGCAAGCUAGGGGGCAAUGGAAUUCCCGGUGUAGUGGUGAAAUGCGUAGAUAUCAGGAGGAACACCGGUGGUGUAGACGGCUCACUGGACCGUAACUGACGCUGAGACACGAAAGCGUGGGUAGCAAACAGG